CACGUAGGGGCCAAGCGUUGUCCGGAAUUAUUGGGCGUAAAGAGCUCGUAGGCGGUUUGUUGCGUCGGCUGUGAAAUCCCGAGGCUCAACCUCGGGUCUGCAGUCGAUACGAGCAAACUAGAGUGUUGCAGGGGAGACUGGAAUUCCUGGUGUAGCGGUGAAAUGCGCAGAUAUCAGGAGGAACACCGGUGGCGAAGGCGGGUCUCUGGGCAACAACUGGCGCUGAGGAGCGAAAGCGUGGGGAGCGAACAGG
rnacentral:rRNA from 1 species